GCUGUCGUAGUUUAAUGAUAAAGCAUAACACUGAAGAUGUUAAGACUGAACGAUGAUAGUUCCGAUAGCA
rnacentral:tRNA from 1 species